AGUUCCUCCCAGCGCCGAAAACAGGAAGCAGCCUCCGCUCACCUGGCGCAGGGGCCAGGAAGGAGUGUGUGAGCGCCGACACACCGGCCGCCCGGUUCCCAUUCCGUCAGCGCUGUUUACCCUCACCGGGCGCUUCCUGCGACCGAGCAGCGCGGCUAAAUCUCUUCACCAGCAGCGAGGAAAUGACUCACCUCAGGAAACCUUCCCUUUGCCCCCCACCCUCUGACCCCCCAAACUGGAGAUGCUGUGGGAAUUUCACUAAAAAUAUCCACACCACCUAAAAAUAAAGCCCGUCAACGGGCUCUUGCCUCAGGAAAUCCUGGCCAAAGCUCAUCUUACAUCACCGGUGGCCCUUGUCGACGUGGCCUCUCGGCGCCACGCCCUACCUGUCCUCUGAGCUUCAAGUUCAUUUUUUAAAAUCUGCCUGAACCUGCCUUUCCCGGCAACGAGAGAGCACAGAGUUGCAGGCCAAUUGCACGGAGCAAGCGCCUUCCCAAGGGAAAGAGAGAUCUAAUUCAAAACAAACAAGAUGGUGCAGCCAUGGCAGACCUUUGCCAGAGGGGCUUUGAAGCCUUGCUCGAUGCUCAGAAUGGCACAGUGGAAAGAGAAGAAGGCACCACAGUGAAAACAGCCUCUGGCCCCCUCUGCCUUGCCAUUUGCCAGGGUAGUAAGAAGAAAAACAUCAGUCAAUCCCACCUGAAGGACAUUCUACGAAAUACCUGACCAUCAUUCCUUACAACUGUCAGGGUCAGCAAAAACAAAGAAUUUCUGAGAAACUGUCAUAGGCGAGAGGAGCAUAAGGAGACAUGACGACUAAUUGUAAUGUGAUAUCCUGAUGAGAUCCCGGAACAAGAAAAGGACUUUAGGUAAAUACCUCUCCUUUGGUUACACCGCUUCAAAGAAUCAGGAGGUAGACCAGACAGAGGGGUCAGCAAGGAAAAUAGAUUUCAUAUUUAAUGCCAUCUUCUAUUGACUGGUCACAGCUAACUGAAACUCUGCCCUGAGAAGGAAGCUGCUUACUUGGCUCAGCCAGAUUGAUUUGCAGUUGAAUCCUGCCCUGAACCGAGAAGGAGGAGGAAGCAGCACAAAGGUACAUUGCCAUCUCUACACGUAUCACCAUACUUGGUUCAAGGGAUAUUCAGUGCAUAACACAAGGUCCUGCUCCUAAGACUAGGGGGGAAUAAUUCCAGCAAUAAUGAAAACUCUAAUGACAGUAGUGUAUUGUUCAGUCUCAGUCAGAACAACAAAUCAACUCCAGGUAUUUCAAGUAGGAAGGGAUUUAAUGCAGGAGACUGGGUAAUUAUAAAACUGUUGCAAAGGCUGAUGGGGAGAAGACCAGGGAAUGCCACCACAGGACCUCAGCCACUAGUCUUCAGACUGAAGAAGUUGCAAGAACUUUUGAAAAAUACUGACACCGAUAAUCACUGCCCAUGGCACUGAAGCGCAUGGAAAACUGAGCUCCAGGGUGGAGCCAAGAAAAGAACUCAGGUCUCCCUUUCAGUCCACCAGUCUUUCUACAUUUUUUUUGGUUUCUCUUUAUUAAAUGUGAGCUAUCAUUGUUCUGACAUUCAUACCCACCCAUGUCUUUAUCAG